rnacentral:rRNA from 1 species
UGGGUAACCUGCCUCAAAGAGGGGAAUAGCCUCCCGAAAGGGAGAUUAAUACCGCAUAAUAUGUUUUAAUCGCAUGAUUUUAACAUCAAAGGAUUUUCUUAGGAAAUUCCACUUUGAGAUGGACCCGCGGCGCAUUAGCUAGUUGGUGAGGUAACGGCUCACCAAGGCAACGAUGCGUAGCCGACCUGAGAGGGUGAUCGGCCACAUUGGAACUGAGACACGGUCCAGACUCCGUAGGAG